rnacentral:rRNA from 1 species
AUUGAACGCUGGCGGCAGGCCUAACACAUGCAAGUCGAACGGUAACAGGAAGCAGCUUGCUUCUUCGCUGACGAGUGGCGGACGGGUGAGUAAUGUCUGGGAAACUGCCUGAUGGAGGGGGAUAACUACUGGAAACGGUAGCUAAUACCGCAUAACGUCGCAAGACCAAAGAGGGGGACCUUCGGGCCUCUUGCCAUCGGAUGUGCCCAGAUGGGAUUAGCUAGUAGGUGGGGUAACGGCUCACCUAGGCGACGAUCCCUAGCUGGUCUGAGAGGAUGACCAGCCACACUGGAACUGAGACACGGUCCAGACUCCUACGGGAGGCAGCAGUGGGGAAUAUUGCACAAUGGGCGCAAGCCUGAUGCAGCCAUGCCGCGUGUAUGAAGAAGGCCUUCGGGUUGUAAAGUACUUUCAGCGGGGAGGAAGGGAGUAAAGUUAAUACCUUUGCUCAUUGACGUUACCCGCAGAAGAAGCACCGGCUAACUCCGUGCCAGCAGCCGCGGUAAUACGGAGGGUGCAAGCGUUAAUCGGAAUUACUGGGCGUAAAGCGCACGCAGGCGGUUUGUUAAGUCAGAUGUGAAAUCCCCGGGCUCAACCUGGGAACUGCAUCUGAUACUGGCAAGCUUGAGUCUCGUAGAGGGGGGUAGAAUUCCAGGUGUAGCGGUGAAAUGCGUAGAGAUCUGGAGGAAUACUCGGUGGCGAAGGCGGCC